UUUGUCUGCAGCUAAUAUGCUGUCUGUUUCUGUUGAAAUGUUGACUUGGAGGGUCAUCAAAGCGUCAAGGUUGAUUAAUAGCAAUGUGAUUCCUUGCUGAAUGGAUAAAUAUGAAUUCCUCUAAAUGAGAAAGUAUGGCAUGAAGGAAUAAGGUUAUCAUGCUAUAGUGGCUAAUGAAGUGGAAAGUUACCAGAAGCUCAUUACAAAAGCAUUUGUUACAUGAUUGCGGCCACUGUUAUAAGCACCACCUGCCUCGCCAACCCAAGCAACAGCUGAAGUUCCUGAAUUCCUUAUGUCCUGCUGAAGGCUUCUGAAUAUGCUUGCUUCUUUGUUAAGGAUGGAUGGAUUUAAUAUUUUAUCCACAAGGCUAUCAUCAUCACCUGCAAACCAGAUGAAUGACAGAGGUACAUGGAUAGAAGUUUAUUUGCAGUUAAGAUUAUCUGAGAGGUUUUAAGGCUACUGAGAUCUAAGAGAUUAAGAAAUGGUCUCCUGGUAUAGGUGGGCUCGGGCUGGUUCAUAGCGGGCUAGGCUGUGCGGAUGGCCGGAUGGAUCCAUUUGGACUCACUGAAUAAUAUGGCGCAGAAACGCCUAUUGUUUUGUCAAUCUAUUUUUCUUAGAAAAUUGGGCUAACCGGGCCCGUUUAUGCGGUUUCAAAUUCGGACCCACUCGCUAGCUCGACUAGUCUCGACCUGAUGGCCUGGAGGUUGUGACUGGGUUAGACUGGCCCAUUAGCCACCUCUAUCAGUCUCUUCUUCCGAUAACUUUGUUAAUGUCUUUUAUUGGUCUAUCAUAUUUUUUGGAACUUUUGAAGUGGCUAUCAUAGUUUGAGGAGAUGGGAGGAAUAUGUCUUAAUUAUCAUGUGAAAUUGUUUGUAGUUAUAAAGUUGAAAAGAAGUAUCUUCUCCGUUCUGUUUUAAAUAAAAUAUUGAGGAAAAUGACACUAUUCAUUGAUCAA